rnacentral:rRNA from 1 species
GGCAAACGGGUGCGGAACACGUACGCAACCUUCCCAAAACUGGGGAAUAGCCCUCCGAAAGGAGGAUUAAUACCCCGUAACAUAGCGAUGUGGCAUCACAUUGCUAUUAUAGCUUCGGCGCUAGAUGAUGGGUGUGCGUAUGAUUAGAUAGUUGGCGAGGUAACGGCUCACCAAGUCUACGAUCAUUAGCUGAUGUGAGAGCAUGAUCAGCCACACGGGCACUGAGACACGGGCCCGACUCCUACGGGAGGCAGCAGUAAGGAAUAUUGGUCAAUGGACGCAAGUCUGAACCAGCCAUGCCGCGUGAAGGAUUAAGGUCCUCUGGAUUGUAAACUUCUUUUAUAUGGGACGAAAAAAGGUCUUUCUAGACCCCUUGACGGUACCAUAUGAAUAAGCACCGGCUAACUCCGUGCCAGCAGCCGCGGUAAUACGGAGGGUGCAAGCGUUAUCCGGAUUCACUGGGUUUAAAGGGUGCGUAGGCGGGUAGGUAAGUCAGUGGUGAAAUCCUGGAGCUCAACUCCAGAACUGCCAUUGAUACUAUCUAUCUUGAAUAUUGUGGAGGUAAGCGGAAUAUGUCAUGUAGCGGUGAAAUGCUUAGAUAUGACAUAGAACACCCAUUGCGAAGGCAGCUUACUACGCAUAUAUUGACGCUGAGGCACGAAAGCGUGGGGAUCAAACAGGAUU